CGCUAUAAACGUCAUCAACACCGCAGCAUUUCGCCCCGCUGCGUUUGUUGUUGUGUUUGCUGUUGCUUUCCCAAUUCGCCGUCUCUCUCUGCUGCCUUUCUCGCCGUCUCGCCGCACCGCUCAUUCUUUCUGCAGCGGUGUUAAGAGAAGAGGAAGAAGCAGAAGUAAAAUUCAGCCGCCGUGAGCACAUUGCGCUAGUUGUUGGCGCUAUUAAACCCAGAAAUCGGCCGGAUAUCACCUUGAAAAACUAACUAAUCGACAGGUAAUACCGUUACCUACAAUUUGAGAUCAAAACACAACGCUAGACCAACGGCAACCGAGUGAAAAACGUGGCGGAAAAAUCCAUAAAAAAAAUGUGAUUGUUGCUUUUACUAGUUAAACUCUUGGAUGUGAAGAAUCCUUAGGUGCUAAUUUAGUUGAUAAGCGCAAAGUGAAAGAGAGAACGAGAGAGAGACAGCGGGAGAACGGGAGAGAGCGAUACACAGGCAGUACAAUAAUAAUUGAGCUAAAGAGCAGAUUUCCCACUGGGUGGCAACUUUGCAAAGGCAGUGCUCAAAAGUAUGCUACAUUAAAAUGAGGCGAACUUAACAGCAGCAACAACCGAAC